UGGGGAAUCUUGGACAAUGGGGGAAACCCUGAUCCAGCGAUGCCGCGUGUGUGAAGAAGGCCUUAGGGUUGUAAAGCUCUUUUACCAGGGAUGAUAAUGACAGUACCUGGAGAAUAAGCUCCGGCUAACUCCGUGCCAGCAGCCGCGGUAAUACGGAGGGAGCUAGCGUUGUUCGGAAUUACUGGGCGUAAAGCGUACGUAGGCGGUGACUCAAGUCAGAGGUGAAAGCCUGGAGCUCAACUCCAGAACUGCCUUUGAAACUAGGUCGCUAGAAUCACGGAGAGGUGAGUGGAAUUCCGAGUGUAGAGGUGAAAUUCGUAGAUAUUGGGAAGAACACCAGUGGCGAAGGCGGCUAACUGGUCCGGUACUGACGCUGAGGUGCGAAAGCGUGGGGAGCAAACAGGAUUAGAUACCCCAGUAGUCCCUGAGCGGGCUGGCAAGGCGCAU
rnacentral:rRNA from 1 species